UACGUAGGGUGCAAGCGUUAUUCGGAUUCACUGGGCGUAAAGGGUGCGCAGGCGGUCGGGUGUGUCAGAUGUGAAAUCCCGAGGCUCAACCUCGGAACUGCGUCUGAAACUACUCGACUAGAGUACUGGAGAGGGUAACGGAAUUCACGGUGUAGCAGUGAAAUGCGUAGAUAUCGUGAGGAACACCAGAGGCGAAGGCGGUUACCUGGACAGUUACUGACGCUGAGGCACGAAAGCGUGGGGAGCAAACAGG
rnacentral:rRNA from 1 species